GGGGGGGUGUGUUGGUGUUGCGGUGGAGUGGAGAGGCGGUCAUAAUAUCUGGCGCUAGCCAUUUCUGGCUCACCUCCUAAACGAAAAAGAGUGGAGAAGCCGCUCCUAAAAGAAGAAGAGAAAGCCCAGUCCAUAGGAAGAGUGAGAGAGAAAGAGAGACAGAUGGGAAGCACGGUUCUGCUCUCCCAUCCACAACUUAGCAGCUGCUUCCGCCGCCUCGAUCCGGCCAAGCAGCACCGUUACGCUGCCCCACGGAUCAAAGCAGCGCCCUUCCCGAGCUCUCCACGCAGGCAUCGCCGGAUCCUCCGCUCCGCUCUCGAAGACGACGGCAGAGAGGGGCAGCAGCAGCCGCAGCCGCAGCCGCCGUUGGGCGGUGUUGGGGCCACCGUCGAGGAAAGACCUGCAGAGAACUUCCAAGAAGACUCCCCAGAAAGCAUCAAGCAAGAUAAUGGGCAAAGCGAUCUCUAUAAUCUUCUUUAUCCUAGCAAAGAGCUUCUCCCUGAUGAUAAAGAGAUGAGCAUUUCUGACCAUUUAGAAGAGCUUCGCCAGAGAAUAUUUCUCUCUGUUUUGGCUGUAGGAGCUGCUAUCUUAGGUUGCUUUGCUUUUUCAAAGGAUUUAAUAUUGCUCCUUGAAGCACCUGUAAGUGCUCAGGGAGUUCGCUUUCUGCAACUAUCUCCUGGGGAGUUUUUCUUUACAACUCUGAAGGUAUCUGGUUACUGUGGGCUGCUUCUGGGGAGUCCUGUUAUCCUCUAUGAGAUCAUAGCAUUUGUUCUUCCUGGUUUAACAAGGGAUGAGAGAAGGUUCCUAGGCCCUAUUGUCCUGGGCUCGUCGGUGCUUUUUUAUGCUGGCAUUGCUUUCUCCUAUUCAAUUCUAACUCCAGCAGCCUUAAAUUUCUUUGUCAGCUAUGCGGAAGGGGCAGUGGAAUCGUUAUGGUCUAUUGAUCAAUACUUUGAGUUUGUCCUCGUGCUUAUGUUCAGCACAGGACUGUCCUUUCAGGUUCCGGUUAUACAGCUCUUGUUGGGACAGAUUGGUUUGGUGUCUGGCGACCAAAUGCUCUCCAUCUGGAGAUACGUUGUGGUUGGCGCUGUUGUUGCUGCUGCUGUGCUUACACCAUCAACUGACCCCUUGACCCAGAUACUGUUGGCAGGGCCACUGUUAGGUCUCUACUUAGGUGGUGCAUGGAUGGUGAAGCUAGUUGGCCGUUAACUGCUUUACCUAAUGCAUAAUUUGCAUUCAAAUGGGUCUACAAAAAGCCAUGAUGUAUCAUUAGCACACAAGAGCCUUCCCAUUUCAGAUACCACAUCAUCACCCAAUCUACUCUCCAGUUUGCCCAAGGAAUUCUCCGGUCCUUCAAAAGGCCUGAAACACAUCUCCAAACGAGCCUUGAAGGCUCCCAACUUCUGCAUGCAUCUCAUCGACUCCGUGGUGCAUCCUUUUUGAUAUCAUCUUCAUUUGAGAGAUCUCCUGCGGAAGGUAACCAGAAGCUCCAAGCUCAUCAACCUGCGCUCCCAUCUCUUGGCGGUAGCUCGGCAAUUUCUCUAAUGAAUCAACGUAAUCCUCGGUGCUAACUCUCACGAAUACUUGAGCGAGUGAAAGCUAAGAAAGAGUAUCUCUCUAUGACAGUAAGUGUAUCCAGCGCCACGCCAAUGGCUAACUCAGCAAUGCCCAUCUUCUGGGGUUAUCACCAAGGUCAUCCUCAAUCAAACCACCCUCUUCAUCAGAGUCAUGCAUCUUCUCAGCAGCGUCAUCGGAAGUUCCAUCUGCCGAGUCAUCGUCAGCACGCUAGAGUUCUCUCAUCUCCCGAAGGACAUCCUUAAUUAAGAUUGCAACAUCUGCCAUGGCCCACACUAUGCCAGGUAAGUCUUAUUUGAGGGCAUCACAUGCUUCCGAAGCUCAGCCUGAUCGCUUGGGGAUUGAUAUUUCUUGUUGGAACUGCUAGAGUCUGCACAAAAUCCAUCAAAAAGAUUUGACGGUUUUAUUUUCAAUCUGGGAGCUAGUUUGUGCCUGAACAUAACGUAAAGCUUUCCUUCUACAAAUGGAGAAAACCUCAUUUGAUGCAAACAUGUAUCGAGUUGAUCAAGAAGCCGAAGGUAAUCUGAAGCAUAUGAUUAUUUGGACAAGAUAUUCUCCAAUCUAAUUCUCAAUUCGCGGUUGUAAUUUUUUUAUCCAACAUGAUCAUCCCAAUUCUGUCUCCGUUGGUGGCGGUGAAAGCAAGAAAUAUUGAAUCUAAUACUGUGGGAUUUUGAAAAAUUUUGGACAUUUUGAACAUUGAAAAGAAAUUUUUAAGGUGAGAGAAAUGCAUACCACGAGAGGAGACUGCUUCCCUUAGCGGUGCAAUGCUGCGAUCGAUUACUUGUUUUGCAGCAGCGCGGAUGCUUGCAUGGAGGGUUGGCUCGGCACCCACGGUGCUACCAGGGCAAAAUGGAACUCAUGAAGCACGUUGCAGUACGCCCCAGUAUUCUCCUCCAGUGCUUUCACCUCAGGUAUUUCUCCACUCCAAAGCAUUCCAGUUGCACAACGGCAAAAACAGAAGGAACAACAAUUUGAUCAUACAUCUAUAAAGUUUAGAAGUAUCAUGGUAUAUAAAUUUCUUUCUCUUUUUUUUUUUGAUGGUAUCUGCUAAGAUCAUCUUACAAGCUAUAAGGUCUAGGGUUAUUAAAUUGAUGAAAUAUGACAAACCCUAGCGAUUUGUCUUUUUGGUCAAUAAUAGAUUACUAAGUUUGUGGUUAAUAACAGAUACAUGGGAGGGAA